rnacentral:rRNA from 1 species
GACGAACCGUCCGAACGUUGUUCGGAAUCAUUGGGCUUAAAGGGCGCGUAGGCGGGCUGCCAAGUCCGGGGUGAAAUCCUCUAGCUUAACUAGAGAACUGCCUUGGAUACUGGAAGUCUCGAGGGGGAUAGGGGCAUGCGGAACAAUAGGUGGAGCGGUGAAAUGCGUUGAUAUCUAUUGGAACUCCGGUGGCGAAGGCGGCGUGCUGGAUCCCUUCUGACGCUGAGGCGCGAAAGCCAGGGGAGCAAACGGG